rnacentral:rRNA from 1 species
GACGAACGCUGGCGGCGUGCUUAACACAUGCAAGUCGAACGCUGAAGCUCAGCUUUUGUUGGGUGGAUGAGUGGCGAACGGGUGAGUAACACGUGAGUAACCUGCCUCCUUCUUUGGGAUAACGCCCGGAAACGGGUGCUAAUACUGGAUAUUCACUGGUCUUCGCAUGGGGGUUGGUGGAAAGGGUUUUUCUGGUGGGGGAUGGGCUCGCGGCCUAUCAGCUUGUUGGUGGGGUGAUGGCCUACCAAGGCUUUGACGGGUAGCCGGCCUGAGAGGGUGACCGGUCACAUUGGGACUGAGAUACGGCCCAGACUCCUACGGGAGGCAGCAGUGGGGAAUAUUGCACAAUGGGCGCAAGCCUGAUGCAGCGACGCCGCGUGAGGGAUGGAGGCAUUCGGGUUGUGAACCUCUUUCGCUCGUGGUCAAGCCGCAACAAUGGUUGUGGUGAGGGUAGUGGGUAAAGAAGCGCCGGCUAACUACGUG